rnacentral:rRNA from 1 species
CUGGCGCUGCUUACCAUGCAAGUCGCGCGUGAAAGGACUUCGGUCCGAGUAAAGCGGCGCACGGGUGAGUAACGCGUGGAUGAUCUACCCAUGAGUUGGGAAUAACGGCUGGAAACGGUCGCUAAUACCGAAUACGCUCCGAUUUCAACUUCGGGGGAAAGGUGGCCUCUGCUUGCAAGCUACUGCUCAUGGAUGAGUCCGCGUCCCAUUAGCUAGUUGGUGGGGUAACGGCCCACCAAGGCGACGAUGGGUAGCCGGUCUGAGAGGAUGACCGGCCACACUGGGACUGGAACACGGCCCAGACUCCUACGGGAGGCAGCAGUGGGGAAUAUUGCGCAAUGGGCGAAAGCCUGACGCAGCGACGCCGCGUGAGGGAUGAAGGUCCUCGGAUCGUAAACCUCUGUCAGGAGGGAAGAACCGCCACGGUGCUAAUCAGCCGUGGUCUGACGGUACCUCCAAAGGAAGCACCGGCUAACUCCGUGCCAGCAGCCGCGGUAAUACGGAGGGUGCGAGCGUUAAUCGGAAUCACUGGGCGUAAAGCGCACGUAGGCUGCUUGGUAAGUCAGGGGUGAAAGCCCGCGGCUCAACCGCGGAAUUGCCUUUGAUACUGCCGAGCUAGAGUCCGGGAGAGGGUAGUGGAAUUCCAGGUGUAGGAGUGAAAUCCGUAGAGAUCUGGAGGAACAUCAGUGGCGAAGGCGACUACCUGGACCGGUACUGACGCUGAGGUGCGAAAGCGUGGGGAGCAAACAGGAUUAGAUACCCUGUAGUCCACGCCGUAAACGAUGGAUGCUAGGUGUCGGGGCCUUGAGCUUCGGUGCCG